CACAGCUUUCUUGAACUG
rnacentral:siRNA from 1 species